GACGAACGCUGGCGGCGUGCUUAACACAUGCAAGUCGAACGAAGUGUCGCACGGUUGAGUAACGCGUACUCAACCUGCCCUUCAGAGGGGGACCACAGUUGGAAACGACUGCUAAUACCGCAUACUGAAGGCGGGGAUUGCGUCCGAUUAGCUAGUUGGAGGGGUAAAGGCCCACCAAGGCGAUGAUCAGUAGCCGGUCUGAGAGGUGUAACGGCCACAUUGGGACUGAGACACGGCCCAGACUCCUACGGGAGGCAGCAGUGGGGAAUCUUCCGCAAUGGACGAAAGUCUGACGGAGCAACGCGGCGUGAGUGAUGACGGCCUUCGGGUUGGAAAGCUCUGUUAAUCGGGACGCGGUACCGGAAUAGAAAGCCACGGCUAACUACGUGCCAGCCGCCGCGGUAAUAC
rnacentral:rRNA from 1 species